rnacentral:rRNA from 1 species
UACGUAGGGACCAAGCGUUGUUCGGAUUUACUGGGCGUAAAGGGCGCGUAGGCGGCGUGGUAAGUCAGCUGUGAAAUCUCCGAGCUUAACUCGGAACGGUCAGCUGAUACUGCUGUGCUAGAGUACAGAAGGGGCAAUCGGAAUUCUCGGUGUAGCGGUGAAAUGCGUAGAUAUCAAGAGGAACACCUGAGGUGAAGACGGGUUGCUGGGCUGAUACUGACGCUGAAGCGCGAAAGCCAGGGGAGCGAACGGG